rnacentral:rRNA from 1 species
GGUUAAGCGACUAAGCGUACACGGUGGAUGCCCUGGCAGUCAGAGGCGAUGAAGGACGUGCUAAUCUGCGAAAAGCGCCGGCGAGGUGAUAUGAACCUUUGACCCGGCGAUGUCCGAAUGGGGAAACCCAGUGCAAUCCGUUGCACUAUCGUUAACUGAAUACAUAGGUUAACGAGGCGAACCGGGGGAACUGAAACAUCUAAGUACCCCGAGGAAAAGAAAUCAACCGAGAUUCCCCCAGUAGCGGCGAGCGAACGGGGAGCAGCCCGGAGUCUGAAUCAGCUUGUGUGUUAGUGGAACGGUCUGGAAAGUCCGACGGUACAGGGUGAUAGUCCCGUACACGAAAGCACACUUGCUGUGAACUCGAAGAGUAGGGCGGGACACGUGGUAUCCUGUCUGAAUAUGGGGGGACCAUCCUCCAAGGCUAAAUACUCCUGACUGACCGAUAGUGAACCAGUACCGUGAGGGAAAGGCGAAAAGAACCCCGGCGAGGGGAGUGAAAAAGAACCUGAAACCGUGUACGUACAAGCAGUGGGAGCCUCUUUAUGGGGUGACUGCGUACCUUUUGUAUAAUGGGUCAGCGACUUAUAUUCUGUAGCAAGGUUAACCGUAUAGGGGAGCCGAAGGGAAACCGAGUCUUAACUGGGCGUUAAGUUGCAGGGUAUAGACCCGAAACCCGGUGAUCUAGCCAUGGGCAGGUUGAAGGUUGGGUAACACUAACUGGAGGACCGAACCGACUAAUGUUGAAAAAUUAGCGGAUGACCUGUGGCUGGGGGUGAAAGGCCAAUCAAACCGGGAGAUAGCUGGUUCUCCCCGAAAGCUAUUUAGGUAGCGCCUCGUGAACUCAUCUUCGGGGGUAGAGCACUGUUUCGGCUAGGGGGCCAUCCCGGCUUACCAACCCGAUGCAAACUACGAAUACCGAAGAAUGUUAUCACGGGAGACACACGGCGGGUGCUAACGUCCGUCGUGAAGAGGGAAACAACCCAGACCGCCAGCUAAGGUCCCAAAGUCAUGGUUAAGUGGGAAACGAUGUGGGAAGGCACAGACAGCCAGGAUGUUGGCUUAGAAGCAGCCAUCAUUUAAAGAAAGCGUAAUAGCUCACUGGUCGAGUCGGCCUGCGCGGAAGAUGUAACGGGGCUAAACCAUGCACCGAAGCUGCGGCAGCGACGCUUAUGCGUUGUUGGGUAGGGGAGCGUUCUGUAAGCCGUUGAAGGUGUCCUGUGAGGGGUGCUGGAGGUAUCAGAAGUGCGAAUGCUGACAUAAGUAACGAUAAAGCGGGUGAAAAGCCCGCUCGCCGGAAGACCAAGGGUUCCUGUCCAACGUUAAUCGGGGCAGGGUGAGUCGACCCCUAAGGCGAGGCCGAAAGGCGUAGUCGAUGGGAAACAGGUUAAUAUUCCUGUACUUGGUGUUACUGCGAAGGGGGGACGGAGAAGGCUAUGUCAGCCGGGCGACGGUUGUCCCGGUUUAAGCAUGUAGGCGGAGGUUCCAGGUAAAUCCGGUACCUUAUUAACGCUGAGGUGUGAUGACGAGGCACUACGGUGCUGAAGUGAUAAAUGCCCUGCUUCCAGGAAAAGCCUCUAAGCAUCAGGUAACACGAAAUCGUACCCCAAACCGACACAGGUGGUCAGGUAGAGAAUACCAAGGCGCUUGAGAGAACUCGGGUGAAGGAACUAGGCAAAAUGGUGCCGUAACUUCGGGAGAAGGCACGCUGAUAUGUAGGUGAAGUCCCUGCGGACGGAGCUGAAAUCAGUCGAAGAUACCAGCUGGCUGCAACUGUUUAUUAAAAACACAGCACUGUGCAAACACGAAAGUGGACGUAUACGGUGUGACGCCUGCCCGGUGCCGGAAGGUUAAUUGAUGGGGUUAGCGGCAACGCGAAGCUCUUGAUCGAAGCCCCGGUAAACGGCGGCCGUAACUAUAACGGUCCUAAGGUAGCGAAAUUCCUUGUCGGGUAAGUUCCGACCUGCACGAAUGGCGUAAUGAUGGCCAGGCUGUCUCCACCCGAGACUCAGUGAAAUUGAACUCGCUGUGAAGAUGCAGUGUACCCGCGGCAAGACGGAAAGACCCCGUGAACCUUUACUAUAGCUUGACACUGAACACUGGUCCUUGAUGUGUAGGAUAGGUGGGAGGCUUUGAAGCGUGGACGCCAGUCUGCGUGGAGCCAACCUUGAAAUACCACCCUUUAAUGGCUGGUGUUCUAACGUAGACCCGUAAUCCGGGUUGCGGACAGUGUCUGGUGGGUAGUUUGACUGGGGCGGUCUCCUCCCAAAGAGUAACGGAGGAGCACGAAGGUUGGCUAAUCCUGGUCGGACAUCAGGAGGUUAGUGCAAUGGCAUAAGCCAGCUUGACUGCGAGCGUGACGGCGCGAGCAGGUGCGAAAGCAGGUCAUAGUGAUCCGGUGGUUCUGAAUGGAAGGGCCAUCGCUCAACGGAUAAAAGGUACUCCGGGGAUAACAGGCUGAUACCGCCCAAGAGUUCAUAUCGACGGCGGUGUUUGGCACCUCGAUGUCGGCUCAUCACAUCCUGGGGCUGAAGUAGGUCCCAAGGGUAUGGCUGUUCGCCAUUUAAAGUGGUACGCGAGCUGGGUUUAGAACGUCGUGAGACAGUUCGGUCCCUAUCUGCCGUGGGCGCUGGAGAAUUGAGGGGGGCUGCUCCUAGUACGAGAGGACCGGAGUGGACGCAUCACUGGUGUUCGGGUUGUCAUGCCAAUGGCACUGCCCGGUAGCUAAAUGCGGAAGAGAUAAGUGCUGAAAGCAUCUAAGCACGAAACUUGCCCCGAGAUGAGUUCUCCCUGAGACCUUGAGUCUCCUGAAGGAACGUUGAAGACUACGACGUUGAUAGGUCGGGUGUGUAAGCGCAGCGAUGCGUUGAGCUAACCGAUACUAAUGAACCGUGAGGCUUAACCUU